rnacentral:pre_miRNA from 1 species
CAACUACUCCCUCGGUCCCAAAUUUCUUGUCUUAGAUUUGUCUAGAUACAGAUGUAUCUAAUACUAAAAUGUGACUUGAUACAUCCAUAUCUAGACAAAUCUAAGACAAGAAUUUUGGGACGGAGGGAGUACUUU